rnacentral:tRNA from 1 species
CAGGAAUUAGUUUAAAAAAUAACUAUCUUCGAACUAGUAGUUUUAGGUAAAAUCCUAAAUUCCUAC